GUGGAGGGUCAUUGGAAACUGGGAGACUAGAGUGCAGAAGAGGAAAGUGGAAUUCCAUGUGUAGCGGUGAAAUGAGUAGAGAAAGGGAGGAACACAAGUGGGGAAGGCGACUUUCUGGUCUGGAACUGACACUGAGGCGCGAAAGUGUGUCGAACAAAAAGGAGUCGAUGAUGUGGUAGUCUACGGCGGAAACGGUGAGGGCUAAGGGUUAGAGGGUUGCCGCACUUUAGUGGUGAAGAUAAGGCAUUAAGAACUCCGCAGGGGGAGUACGGCCGCAAGGAUGAAACUCAAAGGAAUUGUCGGGUGUCCGCACAGGAGGUGGAGCAUGGGGUUAAAUUC
rnacentral:rRNA from 1 species